CUGGGCAGUUCCAGUGCCUGAGCUCCCUUUCCAUGGGGAAAUUCCUGCUGUGCCCACCCUGAACCUGCCCUGACCCAGCCUGAGGCUGUUCCCUCUCAUCCUGGAUGUCCCCCUGGCUGUCUCCUCCUGUCAGGAGCUGUGCAGAGCCACAAGGUCCCCCCUGAGCCUGUGUGACUGCUGCUGUGUUCAGAAUCUUCUCACUCACAUGCAGUGCAGGUUAGACUGCACUGCAGGUUAGACUGCACUGCAGGAACAAAACACAACUAUUCUUGCCUUUAAGUCUAAAAGCAUGGCAAGAGAAAGAGUGAGAUGACAGCAAUCUGAGUAUGCAAUAUACUACAUUUCUAAUUGAUUCUUUACCUUUCUUCCUCUUCCUGCUGUCAAAAUUUCUUAACUUAGAGAUUCACAUCUUUCCAUUUUUCCCCAUCACACAGGAACUAGGCCCAUACGUGGUUAAAACAAAAAAAUUCAGAUUGAAACAAGCAGGGCAAAACUACUGAAGAGUCAGAGCUGUUAAUCGAUACCAUUUUCAUUCAAAGAAAGAGAUAAUAGUUCAUGCUGGGAAUAUGAGAAACUGAACUGGAGGAGUCCCAAGUAUGAGAUAACACAGCAUUAUCCCCCAGAAGCCCUCAGGGAAUAGAUAAAAAUAAUUUGAUUUUUGGGUUUUUUUUUGAUCUCAGACAACUAAAUUAUCUGACUGCAUUGUGCGAGCACAUUCAGCAGAUUGAUAACAGAUCAGCCACAAAAUCCUGCCGCACUUCACACUCUGCUCCAAAACUGAGCAGCCCAGUAAAAUUAAUGAGACAAUUCUCAUCUCUCAUGAGGUCAAGCCAUUGCACAGGCAUAGCCAGGGGGGAGGAUCGUCGUGGAAAAAAACCAAAACAAACAGUGCCUGACGAGGUGGUUACACAACCCAUGCUCCUGGCAAGGCCCCCACAUCAUUAGCUGCUAUUAACUGUCCUGUGCAGAGCCAUCAGCUCUCUCAGGAGCCAGGAGAGUGCUGAAGGGUUUACAAAAGCUCUUCCCUUGUACCCUAGAUAAAUCUGGAGGUGGCCUUGAAGAGUUCCCCUCCUGCAGGCUCGAGUCUCAAGAACACAGCGCAGCGAGAGCUCGCGUUAUACGGAUUUGAUUUUAUUUUCCACUGGAAGGUCAAACUGGAGAGAGCAACGGGCUCAGAGCAGCUUUGCAGCUGGGUCCAGCUCGCUCACAUCCUUGCCAAGGGAAGAAGAAGUUAAUGCCCUGAGAUAAGACCCUCGUCACAAUAUUGUUUAAUUGCAUAAGGCUUCCAUCGAGCUGGAGAUAAGAGCAGGAAUUUGUCCCCAGUCCAGCUGGGUGGGGCAGCUGAGCUCAUGGAGUGUGUCAGAAUGGGAACCAAAAGCAAGGGGUUCAUUUGAGGUGGAAUGAGCAAACUGAUACUGACAGCUGAUGGAAAAGUUAGCUUUUCAUGGGAGCAAGAAAUCAGCCUUCUUUUGACAACAGAAGGCUUAAAACUAGAAUUUCCCUUCCAAUUGCAUUGGGAAUGUUCAUCGAGCCAAACUGCUACUCUGAAACCAGUACACCAAUAUUUUCAGACCUCUUUAGCAACCAAGAAACCAAAUCAGGAAGAUUAAUUGAUUUACCUAAGACUACAGAGUAAGAUCAGCUUCAGUUUUAAAUUAGCAAACAAUUCCCUUCAGUCCUAAUCCAUGUUCAUAAUUCUUCUUGUAAAAAAAAAGAGCAUUUUCCUCGUUCCAGAUCAUUUUGUUACAGAUAAAUCAGAUCACGGAUGAGUCUAUCUGAAUUCCUGACUAAUGUCUCACAACAACAAAACUGGUACCUCCUUCCUAUGAAAAAAAAUAGUGGCCAAAAAGUGCUUUAUUUGAACAAUCUUCUUCGUUAUUUAUUUAAUAAAUUUGUUUUUGCAGGUAAAAUGAUCAUCUCCAGUUGAGAUGCUAUUUUUAAGUUUUGACUUCACAUUAAUAAAGUUAUUACAGAGUUCAUAUUAAUCCUUGAUAAUUCAUCCUUGAGGAGACUGAGGUGGGGUCUCCUGGAGCUUCCUCCUGAGGGGCAGCUCCGAUCUCUGUUCCCUGGGACAGGGACAGCACCCAGGGAAGGGCUGGGGCUGAGCCAGGGGAGGGUUGGGGUGGAUUUUGGGAAAGGUUCUUCCCCCAGAGGGAGCUGGCACUGCCCAGACUCCCCAGGAAAUGGGCACGAGGCUGCCAGAGCUCCAGGAGCGUUUGGACAGUGCUCCAGGGAUGCCAGGGUGGGAUUUUUGGGGAGUCUAUAUGCAGGGACAGGAGCUGGACUUGGAUUAUCCCUUCCAACUCAGCAUAUUCCAUGAUUCUCUGAAUUUUACUUAUCUCAAUUUUGUACUCUGGAAGUUUUCUCUUUCUCAGAAAAGUGCAACCUCAAUCCUUACCUGUCCAGCAGGGUUUGGGCUGAUCUAACAUCCUGUAACACUCAUAAGUACGAUUCCCUUUUUUGUUCUGUUUGUGAUUCCUUACACAGGGCUGAGUUUUGAUUCAUGCCACAGCUCUUGGGGAGCUUGGUGUGGGUGCAGUGACUGGGUCGUGAGCAGCAGUGUUUGCCAAAGGCAAAGCUGGGUACACACACUCAUCCUUCGGGUCAACCGGGCUUCGUUCAUCAGUGGGGAAUGUGCCAUGACUCUGAGCAAGGGUGUGGCCUGCAGCCCUGAGCCGCUCAGGAAAAGGAAAAAACACUGCAGAGAAUGAAGAGAAAUUAUAAAAAAAAAAAUGGUAUAAAGCGUUUUCAAAAUAUAAAUAACGGCGCUUGAGGAAAUCUUGCUGAAGGAACAGGAUGCGCGUGGAGGUGAAGAAUUCAAAUGCAAGUGCUGUGCUAAGUAUAAUCAGUAAUGAAAGUUCAGCCCUUCCUCUUAGGAUUUGGAUAAGCUGUGUGUUGGCAGUACUCCCCAAAUUCCAGGGAACAAAAAGCAAGCUUUACAUGUUCUCUUAAAGUCUUGUUGCAGCGUGGUUUGUUUAUCAUUACCACUUGUAAUGCUGUCCAGCCAUUUUUGCAAGAUUGGACUUAAAAUAGACAAUAGAAUAAAUUAAUACCUACUGAA